UCUAGAAAAGAUACAGUAGGCUGCAAAUUACUAAGAAUGAGCAAUGGUUUCAAUAUGGUUUAUCUUUGUGACAGCAAUAUUCAUGCAUGUAUUUUUUAGACUAGGCUAUCUCAGAAUAACUGACCUUAAUGUGAUAAAACCAAAUUGAGUUGAUUUCCCCAGUUCUCUAUCUAAUAAACCACAAUGCUUCUCCCCUUGAUAAUUACACAAAUAGAUACCCAAUGGAAAAAAUGAGUAUUCUAUUCUUUCUUUUAUGACUUUAAUACCUGAAUACUAGCUAAAACAAACCAAAAUAGAUACACCUUUUGAAGAGACAACUACAAGAAGAGCAUAGUUUGAGAGCUGAAUCAGCCUGGGAGGGAUUAUAAGACCAACUCCUUCAUUUUAUAAUUGUGGAACAAAUGCCCAGGAAGUUUGUUAAGUAACCAAUUCAGGGUCACAUAGCAGGCAGAAAAGAUAGAAUUUGGAUUGAGGGCCAGUAUUCUUCCCACUCUACCAUGCUGCCUACUCAUUCCUUGUAGCUAUCUUCUAAAUUCUAAUGGAAAUGCAUCUCAAGGCAAGUGUUUUGGGUAGGGGGUAUGAAGAGUGUUUACAUGAGAAGAACUUGCACAAAGCCAGCAAUAGAGGACUUCUCCAAGAGAAUAAGUUCUUUCCUCUGGUUGUGGAUAGCAUUCUUUCUCAUAAGUUCCUCUGGAUUGUCCUGGGUCAAUGCAUUGCUGGCAGGCUCAGUCAAGAUUGCAUAACAGAAGUCUCUAAUGGACCCACUCACCAUGGUUUCAAGAUUUCCUACAGCAUCAUUGUUCAGCAUCAUGAGAAUGGAAACCAAGAAGUUCAACACAAGUACAAGUCAGCUUCCCUUUAUCAUUAAUUAUUCUUAGCUCUCUUACCUCCUUGUUUUUGAAAAUCUGCAAGCAAUAUCAGAAAUCUCUAUAUUCCACACCAAAGGCCAAAGCUCCAGCAAGUCCACUCCAGUUAUAAUUUUGUUCCCUAUACUAAAAUUCUAUAAUUUUGAAUAAAGCACUUCCCUUGAAUUCA
rnacentral:lncRNA from 1 species